AUUACCAUAAGAGAACAGUUGUAUUUUAGCUGUUGAAUUAAACGGUUGUAUUUUCCAACUGAUCAAUCGUGUUGAUUAUUUUAAAACGUAGUUAAAAAGCAUAUUUUUUUUUGCAAAACAACAAAUAAAAUUAAAAAUAAAAACAUAUUAGAUAGGUAAAACAAUGAAUUCUUGCCAUUUACUAACAACAAUUUUAGCCGUUUGUGCGGUAUCAGCUCUAGCAGCAGAGAAAAAUACUCGUAUCGAGGCCAUUGCUUAUGUAUCGAGUCCGAAUAGCAAUCAAGUGAAUGGAAAUGUAACAUUCAUACAAAAUGCUUGCGGAGAAAAUGUUCAUGUUCGUGUUUUUAUAACUGGUUUAACUCCCGGAAAACAUGGUUUCCACGUUCAUGAAAAAGGAGACUUGACGAAUGGUUGCUUAAGCAUGGGUGGUCACUUUAAUCCUGACAAGAUGGAUCAUGGUGGUCCCGGUGAUGAAGUUCGUCAUGUUGGUGAUCUUGGCAAUAUUGAAGCGAAUGAAAAUGGUGUUGUGGAUACCACAUUUACAGAUCAUUUGAUAAGUUUAACCGGUCCACGGACAAUUAUCGGACGUGGUCUAGUUAUACACGAUAAUGUUGAUGAUUUGGGUAAAACAACACAUCCUGAUUCGAAAAAGACUGGCAAUGCUGGCGGACGUGCUGCCUGUGGAGUUAUUGGUGUCAAAUUUUCGAAACACACUGUGUCCUGUGCAGAUGAUAAUUAAAAAUUACUAAAAUGCUAUUAAACUAAAAUCCUUUUAUUCCCAUAUCCUCAUCCUAACAUUAUUCUAAACAAACAAUAUAAUUAUCUAUCAAAUCUGUCAAUGUCUUCAAUACUCGUAGUGUCUUGUAGUUGUUGAUGGCGUAUUACCUUGCAGUGGUGGCAGUUCUACAUUGGGCAUCUCCAUAGCUCUAUUCUUAUCCGCUUUAAUUGCUAUAAUUUUGAAUUAUUAUUAAGUUUCGAUCAAAACUUUUAUAUAUUUUUGUUAUAUUAAGUAUUAUUUCUUUAAAAAUAAAAAGCAAACCAUCCAUUAUGUAUUAAUAUAAAA
rnacentral:misc_RNA from 1 species